rnacentral:rRNA from 1 species
UACGGGGGGGGCAAGCGUUGUUCGGAAUUACGGGGCGGAAAGGGCUCGUAGGUGGCCAACUAAGUCAGACGUGAAAUCCCUCGGCUUAACCGGGGAACUGCGUCUGAUACUGGAUGGCUGGAGUAUGGGAGAGGAAUGCGGAAUUCCAGGUGUAGCGGUGAAAUGCGUAGAUAUCUGGAGGAACACCGGUGGCGAAGGCGGCAUUCUGGACCAUUACUGACGCUGAGGAGCGAAAGCCAGGGGAGCAAACGGG